GGGUUGUGAGGUUAAGCGACUAAGCGUACACGGUGGAUGCCCUGGCAGUCAGAGGCGAUGAAGGGCGUGCUAAUCUGCGAUAAGCGCCGGUAAGGUGAUAUGAACCGUUAUAACCGGCGAUACCCGAAUGGGGAAACCCAGUGUGAUUCGUCACACUAUCAUUAACUGAAUCCAUAGGUUAAUGAGGCGAACCGGGGGAACUGAAACAUCUAAGUACCCCGAGGAAAAGAAAUCAACCGAGAUUCCCCCAGUAGCGGCGAGCGAACGGGGAGGAGCCCAGAGCCUGAAUCAGCAUGUGUGUUAGUGGAAGCGUCUGGAAAGGCGCGCGAUACAGGGUGACAGCCCCGUACACAAAAGCGCAUAUGCUGUGAGCUCGAUGAGUAGGGCGGGACACGUGGUAUCCUGUCUGAAUAUGGGGGGACCAUCCUCCAAGGCUAAAUACUCCUGACUGACCGAUAGUGAACCAGUACCGUGAGGGAAAGGCGAAAAGAACCCCGGCGAGGGGAGUGAAAAAGAACCUGAAACCGUGUACGUACAAGCAGUGGGAGCCCCACCACCAAAGCAUUCUCUGGUGUUGAAGGCCCUGCAAAGCAGCAUCGCGGUGGCGGAGCGUCGUUUGCGACGCCCAACACACAAAACAAGCGGUGAAUGCUUUGGGGUGGGGUGACUGCGUACCUUUUGUAUAAUGGGUCAGCGACUUAUAUUCUGUAGCAAGGUUAACCGAAUAGGGGAGCCGGAGGGAAACCGAGUCUUAAC
rnacentral:rRNA from 1 species